rnacentral:rRNA from 1 species
UCAUUUAGAGGAAGUAAAAGUCGUAACAAGGUCUCCGUUGGUGAACCAGCGGAGGGAUCAUUACCGAGUUUACAACUCCCAAACCCCUGUGAACAUACCAAUUGUUGCCUCGGCGGAUCAGCCCGCUCCCGGUAAAACGGGACGGCCCGCCAGAGGACCCCUAAACUCUGUUUCUAUAUGUAACUUCUGAGUAAAACCAUAAAUAAAUCAAAACUUUCAACAACGGAUCUCUUGGUUCUGGCAUCGAUGAAGAACGCAGCAAAAUGCGAUAAGUAAUGUGAAUUGCAGAAUUCAGUGAAUCAUCGAAUCUUUGAACGCACAUUGCGCCCGCCAGUAUUCUGGCGGGCAUGCCUGUUCGAGCGUCAUUUCAACCCUCAAGCCCCCGGGUUUGGUGUUGGGGAUCGGCGAGCCCUUGCGGCAAGCCGGCCCCGAAAUCUAGUGGCGGUCUCGCUGCAGCUUCCAUUGCGUAGUAGUAAAACCCUCGCAACUGGUACGCGGCGCGGCCAAGCCGUUAAACCCCCAACUUCUGAAUGUUGACCUCGGAUCAGGUAGGAAUACCCGCUGAACUUAAGCAUAUCAAUAAGCGG